rnacentral:rRNA from 1 species
AUUGAACGCUGGCGGCAUGCUUUACACAUGCAAGUCGAACGGUAACAGGCCGCAAGGUGCUGACGAGUGGCGAACGGGUGAGUAAUGCAUCGGAACGUGCCCAGUCGUGGGGGAUAACGCAGCGAAAGCUGUGCUAAUACCGCAUACAAUCUGUGGAUGAAAGCGGGGGACCGAAAGGCCUCGCGCGAUUGGAGCGGCCGAUGUCAGAUUAGGUAGUUGGUGGGGUAAAGGCUCACCAAGCCAACGAUCUGUAGCUGGUCUGAGAGGACGACCAGCCACACUGGGACUGAGACACGGCCCAGACGCCUACGGGAGGCAGCAGUGGGGAAUUUUGGACAAUGGGCGCAAGCCUGAUCCAGCAAUGCCGCGUGCAGGAAGAAGGCCUUCGGGUUGUAAACUGCUUUUGUACGGAGCGAAAAGGCUCUCUCUAAUACAGGGGGCUCAUGACGGUACCGUAAGAAUAAGCACCGGCUAACUACGUGCCAGCCGCCGCGGUAAUAC